CCUACGGGAGGCAGCAGUGGGGAAUAUUGCACAAUGGGGGAAACCCUGAUGCAGCGACGCCGCGUGAGUGAAGAAGUAAUUCGUUAUGUAAAGCUCUAUCAGCAGGGAAGAAAAUGACGGUACCUGAGUCAGAAGCCCCGGCCAACUACGUGCCAGCAGCCGCGGUAAUACGUAGGGGGCAAGCGUUAUCCGGAUUUACUGGGUGUAAAGGGUGCGUAGAAGGCAGUGCAAGUCUGGAGUGAAAGGCGGGGGCUCAACCCCCGGACUGCUCUGGAAACUGUACGGCUGGAGUGCAGGAGAGGUAAGUGGAAUUCCUAGUGUAGCGGUGAAAUGCGUAGAUAUUAGGAGGAACACCAGUGGCGAAGGCGGCUUACUGGACUGUAACUGACGUUGAGGCUCGAAAGCGUGGGGAGCAAACAGGAUUAGAUACCCGUGUAGUC
rnacentral:rRNA from 1 species